rnacentral:rRNA from 1 species
CUACGGAGGGUGCAAGCGUUAUUCGGAAUCACUGGGCGUAAAGGACACGUAGGCGGGAAGCCAAGUCUGAUGUGAAAUCCUACAGCUUAACUGUAGAACUGCAUUGGAAACUGGUUACCUAGAGUAUGGGAGGGGGAGAUGGAAUUAGUGGUGUAGGGGUAAAAUCCGUAGAUAUCACUAGGAAUACCUAAAGCGAAGGCGAUCUCCUGGAACAUUACUGACGCUAAGGUGUGAAAGCGUGGGGAGCAAACGGGAUUAGAAACCCCAGUAGUCC